rnacentral:rRNA from 1 species
CUAAUACAUGCAAGUCGAGCGAACGGAUAAGGAGCUUGCUCCUUUGAAGUUAGCGGCGGACGGGUGAGUAACACGUGGGUAACCUACCUAUAAGACUGGAAUAACUUCGGGAAACCGGAGCUAAUGCCGGAUAACAUAUAGAACCGCAUGGUUCUAUAGUGAAAGAUGGUUUUGCUAUCACUUAUAGAUGGACCCGCGCCGUAUUAGCUAGUUGGUAAGGUAAUGGCUUACCAAGGCGACGAUACGUAGCCGACCUGAGAGGGUGAUCGGCCACACUGGAACUGAGACACGGUCCAGACUCCUACGGGAGGCAGCAGUAGGGAAUCUUCCGCAAUGGGCGAAAGCCUGACGGAGCAACGCCGCGUGAGUGAUGAAGGUUUUCGGAUCGUAAAACUCUGUUAUUAGGGAAGAACAAAUGCGUAAGUAACUGUGCGCAUCUUGACGGUACCUAAUCAGAAAGCCACGGCUAACUACGUGCCAGCAGCCGCGGUAAUACGUAGGUGGCAAGCGUUAUCCGGAAUUAUUGGGCGUAAAGCGCGCGUAGGCGGUUUCUU